rnacentral:tRNA from 1 species
AUCUCUAAAUAGCUAUUUGAAU